rnacentral:misc_RNA from 1 species
CUGAGUGUUACAACUCCCAAACCCUUUGUGAACCUUACCUUUUUGUUGCUUCGGCGGGACCGCCCCGGCGCCUCUGCGCGCCGGACCCAUGGCACCCGCCGGGGGACCGAAACUCUUGAUUUCCCCGUCAGUGGAAUUUCUCUCUGAGUGGCACAAGCAAAAGAAAAUCA